GGAUUCACUGGGCGUAAAGGGUGCGUAGGCGGUUUGGUAAGUCUGACGUGAAAUCUCCGGGCCUAACCCGGAAACUGCGUUGGAUACUAUCCGGCUAGAGGAAUGGAGGGGAGACUGGAAUACUUGGUGUAGCAGUGAAAUGCGUAGAUAUCAAGUGGAACACCAGUGGCGAAGGCGAGUCUCUGGACAUUUCCUGACGCUGAGGCACGAAAGCCAGGGGAGCAAACGGG
rnacentral:rRNA from 1 species